rnacentral:rRNA from 1 species
UACGGAGGGGCUAGCGUUGUUCGGAAUUACUGGGCGUAAAGCGCACGUAGGCGGCUUUGUAAGUUAGAGGUGAAAGCCCAGGGCUUAACCCUGGAAUUGCCUUUAAGACUGCAUCGCUAGAAUCGUGGAGAGGUGAGUGGAAUUCCGAGUGUAGAGGUGAAAUUCGUAGAUAUUCGGAAGAAACACCAGUGGCGAAGGCGACUCACUGGACACG